rnacentral:rRNA from 1 species
AGUGAACGCUGGCGGCGUGCUUAACACAUGCAAGUCGAACGAGAACGGAUUAUAGCUUGCUAUAAUUGUCAGCUAAGUGGCGCACGGGUGAGUAAUGUAUAGGUAAUAUGCCUCUUACUAAGGGAUAACAAAUGGAAACGUUUGCUAAUACCUUAUACUCCUUAUUAACAGAAGUUAAUAAGGGAAAGAUUUAUUGGUAAGAGAUUAGCCUGUAUUGUAUCAGUUAGUUGGUGGGGUAAUGGCUUACCAAAACUAUGACACAUAACUGGUUUGAGAGGAUGAUCAGUCACACUGGAACUGAAACACGGUCCAGACUCCUACGGGAGGCAGCAGUGGGGAAUAUUGCACAAUGGACGGAAGUCUGAUGCAGCAACGCCGCGUGGAGGAUGACACAUUUCGGUGCGUAAACUCCUUUUAUAUGAGAAGAUAAUGACGGUAUUAUAUGAAUAAGCACCGGCUAACUCCGUGCCAGCAGCCGCCGUAA